CAGAAAACGAUUCUCGCGGGUGCCAGGGAAGCCGGUGCAAGUCCGGCGCGGUGCCGCCACUGUGAGGGGGAGUACCUGCUAAAGGAGCCACUGGUCCAGCACUCAGCAAGAUAUUUACCGCUACGGGUUAAUUUCUUAUAGUAUUAAGAAGUACCCGGAGUAGUGCAGCUAAAGGAGCUGAGUGCUGGACUGGGAAGGCAGCAGGGAGCGUUGAACCCGAGCCAGGAGACCUGCCCGUGGGAUUUCACCGUU
rnacentral:ncRNA from 1 species